AACGAACGCUGGCGGCAGGCCUAACACAUGCAAGUCGAGCGCCCUUUCGGGGGAGCGGCGGACGGGUGAGUAACGCGUGGGAAUAUUCCCUUCUCUACGGAAUAGCCUCGGGAAACUGAGAGUAAUACCGUAUACGCGCUUUGGGGGGAAGAUUGAUCGGGGAAGGAUUAGCCCGCGUUGGAUUAGGUGGUUGGUGGGGUAAUGGCCUACCAAGCCGACGAUCCAUAGCUGGUUUGAGAGGAUGAUCAGCCACACUGGGACUGAGACACGGACCAGACUCCUACGGGAGGCAGCAGUGGGGAAUCUUAGACAAUGGGGGCAACCCUGAUAUAGCCAUGCCGCGUGAGUGAUGAAGGCCUUAGGGUUGUAAAGCUCUUUCAGCUGGGAAGAUAAUGACGGUACCAGCAGAAGAAGCCCCGGCUAACUCCGUG
rnacentral:rRNA from 1 species